AGCGGGUUCUGCCAGAAGUAGUUAGCCUAACCGCAAGGAGGGCGAUUACCACGGCAGGGUUCGUGACUGGGGUGAAGUCGUAACAAGGUAGCCGUAUCGGAAGGUGCGGCUGGAUCACCUCCUUUCUG
rnacentral:rRNA from 1 species